UGGGGAAUAUUGGACAAUGGGCGCAAGCCUGAUCCAGCAAUACCGCGUGAAUGAUGAAGGUCUUCGGAUUGUAAAGUUCUUUUAGUGAGGAAGAUAAUGACGGUACUCACAGAAAAAGCGCCGGCUAACUUCGUGCCAGCAGCCGCGGUAAUACGAAGGGCGCAAGCGUUGUUCGGAAUCAUUGGGCGUAAAGCGUAUGUAGGCGGUUUGGUAAGUCAGUCGUGAAAGCCCCGAGCUCAACUCGGGAAUUGCGAUUGAAACUACUUUUCUAGAAUUUGGUGGGGGAUAAUGGAAUUCCUAGUGUAGGGGUGAAAUCCGUAGAGAUUAGGAGGAACACCGGAGGCGAAAGCGAUUAUCUACGCCAAUAUUGACGCUGAGAUACGAAAGCGUGGGGAGCAAA
rnacentral:rRNA from 1 species